GUGUAUUAGCAAAAGCACAAACUGAGGUAAGAGAAGCAUUCAAAGGGAAAGAAACUUCCAAUGAAGAUGUUAUUGAGAGGUUGAAAUACCUAAAACAAGUUGUUAAAGAAACCUUCAGACUUCAUCCUCCGCUCCCUCUCUUAAUCCCUAGAGAAUGUAGAGAAGAAACAAACAUCAAUGGUUACACUAUCCCUUUAAAAACAAGAGUCGUUGUUAACGUUUAUUCGAUGGGGAGAGACCCAAAGUACUGGGAAGAUGCAGAAAGCUUUAUACCUGAGAGAUUUGAGGGGAGCUCAGUGGAUUUUAUGGGGAAUAACUUUGAGUAUCUUCCUUUUGGUGCCGGAAGAAGAAUAUGUCCUGGGAUUACAUUUGGUUUGAUCAACGUUUAUCUUCCACUAGCUAAUUUGUUGUAUCAUUUUGAUUGGAAAUUACCUCAUGGUGUGAAGCUUGAAGAUGUGGACAUGAAUGAGUUUUCUGGAAUAACUGCAGCAAGAAAGAGUGAACUUUACUUGAUUGCCACUCCUUAUUAUCCUUCUCAUGAAUGACAUUUGAGAGAAUGGUAAUUUAUGUAUUUUUGUG
rnacentral:lncRNA from 1 species